rnacentral:lncRNA from 1 species
GUAUUCUGCACGGACUGCUGGGCAGCACUAGCACUCUGGAGAAGGUCUGCCGCUGUCUGCACUUUCCUGGUUCUAUGCAGGCAGAUGAGUGUCACAGCUGUAACUGAGGCACAGAGCAGUACACACAGUGGAGCCGAUUUCCGCGAUGGCGAGAGGGGGCACCGGAGGUGACAACAAUAACAAGACUGUCCUUCGGACAAGUUUUAGCGCUGAAUAUCUUCAGGAAAAUGGGUUCCAUGAGAAGUGACAUCCUCCUCGAAUCAAAAGACUUGAGGUUAACAUGGGCAUAAUGUUCUGGAUGAAGCUUUGGAAGUACUUGUGAAGGGAAGAAUGACUUGGGCAAUACCAAAUGUUGAGUUAUCAAGUAUUUCGAUACCCAUAUGCAUCAUCUGCUGUAAGUAUUCUCAGGAUGAUGGAGUGAGUGAUGGAAUAGGUUGCCAACUGUAGUUACUCCACUCAGCACAGAAUGGCUGCGGGGAAAUAUAAUCAGACAUGCCCAAAGAAGUCUGCUUAGGGUGAAACAAAUACCUUUGAGGUUUAAAUCAGAAAGGAAGGAGAGACUGUUUCUACAGGUGUCAUACAAAAAUCAAUACUGAGCCAAGGAUUAUUGGAUCCCAUAGAACCACGGAGACUUGGUAGUGAAAUUCUUCCAAAGCAUUCCAUCCGUGCAGGCAGAUGGUGUUCCUAGGUUUGGAAAUAUAAAUCCCAUGGGAAGUCAGCUGAAGACCAUUUUAUGCAUCACUCAUCCUGUUAGAGCCCUGUGCUGUUCUGUCUCUCUAUAAGACUGGCUGAAACCACCACGGUUGUUUACAAUUUAUGCUCUAACUUUGGAUCACCUAGUUAAUACUCUAACUCCGAUUAUUACCAAAGACAAUGUUCUAUAAAAGAUAUUGUCUAUUAGAAGGAUGCUUCUGCAUUAUUAAUAAAAUCACAGGGAAAAUGCAACAUUUUGGAUGUCACAUCUGAUAAGUGGGUGACUGAUCGUACCCGCCAGCUGGCUAAUGUCAUAAUUAACAAAGUUGCUACUACAUCUGCAAAGUUUAAUCGAAAAAUUUGCCAGUGAUAUGAUGGCCUUGUCACAGAGAUCACAAGGGACACGGAGUUGACUUUUGCUCAAGGUGGAACGACAGAGCUGUGUAGGCAAGAUGAGAAAUUGCGAACUUGUUCGGCCAAAGGAGGCUAAUAAUGAAGGGGCCGGGAAGGAGGCCAGUGCUACCAGGGUUAUCUCACAACCUCAGAUGCUGGAUAAGUCGACGGAGGCAGAAUCGCUUUGGGAUGACAUUCAGAAAGCCUGGAGUGAUUACUUGCAAGAGAAAAGCCUACCUAUUCUUUCCAAGGUGCAGGAAUAUUCCCCUGACCUGCUCAUCCAGUGGUCCAGUAAUGAAUUACUGGAGACCUGCCUUAGACAAAGAAUGCACUCGGAGCCCCAACACACCUAAAGCCAUGCUUUGAAGGAUCUGCCAAGCUCACUUUUAAUCAUGAGAAAGAAAUUACCCACACGGAGUCAGCAGAAAAUGAGAAAGUAGAGCUCGUGCUGUGAAUAAUUCCAGCAAGUGCCAAGGGGCUAGUUGAGGAAUGGCUUCAUGAGAACAUGCUCUAGGGGAACUAUUAAUAGCCCACCAGUCGGGUAGGCAGCAUUCAAUCCUUCUAUGCCUUCUUUCGCCACCUGUUGAGGUCUUUCUUCUGAAACAAAGAAGAAAUAGACAAAUCAGACUUGCCCUCUUGGAAAUGUGGUCCAGAUUUCUCUACUCCCAAGCUCCAAAAAAGGUAUACAUUGGAUGGGCUAGAUCAACUCCUCCUGAGAGCCAUAAAUCCGCCAAGAGUUGUUUUCCAUGUAAGGGUGUGGUACAAUGGGGAACACCUGAUGUUGGAGGAAAGCAGGAGGACUUUAGAGUGGAGUUGCAUUCUAAUCUCUCUGCCGCUUCAACUAUGUGACCUGGGGCAAAUGAUAUAAACUCUAUGAGCCUCUUUCCUUAUCUUUAAAAUGAAGAGAAGUAAUACCUACCUUGUAGGGCUGUUGUGAGGAUUAAAUGAAGUAAUGCAUACAGUGCCUAACAAAGUAUUUAACAUCAUAUUUUUUAAAAGCUCAUGAAAUAUUAGUUUUUCUUCCUUCCCCUCUUUCUAUUUUCUCUCCUGUUCCCUUUUCUCUCCCUCCUCUGCCCUCUCCUUCCUUCAGAUGUUAGUCUAAAACAGCACCUUGGAUCUAAGCAGCACCUUUGAGAAAGAAAAGACUGCUUCAAGAAUGUCUAGUUGCACCUCCUUUCCGUAUGUGGCCUAAAUGCCUAGGUUGGAUCAAUAGUUUAAUUUUUUUAUUGAACUGUUUAAUAUUGACUAUGGACUUACAUUCACUUUUACUGUUUUCUGUAUAUUUACUUUUGCUUGAAGUGUUUUAAUAUUGACUAUUUACCUCUGCUCAUUUUUAUUGAUUUUCUGUAUUUUUUCAAUGAAAAUUAUAAUAAAAAUUAUUUUUGUUA